rnacentral:rRNA from 1 species
GACGAACGCUGGCGGCGUGCUUAAAACAUGCAAGUCGAACGAUGAAGCCGGAGCUUGCUCUGGUGAAUUAGUGGCGAACGGGUGAGUAACACGUGAGUAACAUGCUCUUGACUCUGGGAUAACUGCUAGAAAUGGUAGCUAAUACCGGAUACGACCCUCGGAGGCAUCUUCAGGGGGUGGAAAGAAUUUCGGUCAAGGAUGGACUCGCGGCCUAUCAGCUAGUUGGUGGGGUAAUGGCCUACCAAGGCGACUACGGGUUGACGGCCUGCGAGGGUGACCGGUCACACUGUGACUUAGAUACGGCCCAUACUCCUACAGGAGGCAGCAUUUUUGAAUAUUGCACAAUUGGUUCAAGCCUGAUUCAGCGACGCCGCGUGAGUGAUGACGGCCUUCCGGUUGUAAACCUCUUUCAGCACCGACGAAGCGCAAGUGACGGUAGGUGCAGAAGAAUGACCGUCCAAUUACGUGCCAGCAGCCGCCGUAA